UUCUAUGGCCAUACCACCCUGAACACGCCCAAUCUCGUCUGAUCUCGGAAGCUAAGCAGGGUCAGGCCUGGUUAGUACUUGGAUGGGAGACUGGUCUAGAUCCUGCCUUUGGGGCCACUUGGGG
rnacentral:rRNA from 1 species